AAGUUCCAUAAUGUGUUUGACAGCGACAUGCAAUAUAACCUCUUGCUCCAUCCCAUAAAACUUUUGAAGGAUAGUUCAUAUGUCCAGGAAGCAUUCUGAGUCUUCUACUUAUUGUGAUCAAUUUUUUUCCAUCGUGGAAUCAAAGGGCGUCCGAUGAGACUAGGCUAAACAUGUACACACCGUCUUGAAAAAUGAUGGGUUCAAGCACGAAACUGACAAGACUUUGCUAGUUCCUCUCGAAGAGUCCUGCAACAUGCGUGGACAUGGACAAUCAAUCCCAAGUGGCUUCUACGAGCACGCUCAACUUCUUUUU